rnacentral:rRNA from 1 species
GAUGAACGCUGGCGGCGUGCCUAAUACAUGCAAGUCGAGCGAACGGACGAGAAGCUUGCUUCUCUGAUGUUAGCGGCGGACGGGUGAGUAACACGUGGAUAACCUACCUAUAAGACUGGGAUAACUUCGGGAAACCGUAGCUAAUACCGGAUAAUAUUUUGAACCGCAUGGUCCAAAAGUGAAAGACGGUCUUGCUGUCACUUAUAGAUGGAUCCGCGCUGCAUUAGCUAGUUGGUAAGGUAACGGCUUACCAAGGCAACGAUGCAUAGCCGACCUGAGAGGGUGAUCGGCCACACUGGAACUGAGACACGGUCCAGACUCCUACGGGAGGCAGCAGUAGGGAAUCUUCCGCAAAGGGCGAAAGCCUGACGGAGCAACGCCGCGUGAGUGAUGAAGGUCUUCGGAUCGUAAAACUCUGUUAUUAGGGAAGAACAUAUGUGUAAGUAACUGUUCACAUCUUGACGGUACCUAAUCAGAAAGCCACGGCUAACUACGUG